rnacentral:rRNA from 1 species
AUUGAACGCUGGCGGCAGGCCUAACACAUGCAAGUCGAACGAGUGGCGGACGGGUGAGUAGUGUCUGGGAAACUGCCUGAUGGAGGGGGAUAACUACUGGAAACCGUAGCUAAUACUGCAUACCAUCAGAUGUGCCCAGAGGGGAUUAGCUUGUUGGUGGGGUAACGGGUCACCAAGGCGACGAUCCCUAGCUGGUCUGAGAGGAUGACAGGCCACACUGGAACUGAGACACGGUCCAGACUCCUACGGGAGGCAGCAGUGGGGAAUAUUGCACAAUGGGCGAAAGCCUGAUGCAGCCAUGCCGCGUGUGUGAAGAAGGUCUUCGGGUUGUAAAUUACUGUCAGCGGGGAGGCGUUACCCGCAGAGGAAGCACCGGCUAACUCCGUGCCAGCAGCCGCGGUAAUUC